CGGGGCGCCAGGUACAGCCUGCGGGACGUCCAGUGCCAGCGCAGGAGCCGGGCGAGGCCGUGGCCUCCAGGGUUCCUGGGCGGAGGACAAGGCGCGCAGCCGCGUUGGCGCGAGUUUUAAAUCGGUGCCUUCUCAACUUUGCAAGCUCUUACCAAUUGCUGCAUGCCAGAGGAAGUUUUUAAAAAAUGGCCCCCAGCUCUACUGCGGUGUAAUUGAUGGAUAGAAAUUGUAUUUAUUUAAGGUGAACAGCUGGACGAUGUGAUGGAGGCACGCAGGGUGGAGGGGUUACCACAGUCUAGGUACUCUACACAUCCAGAGCCUCCCACAGUUGACAAAUGGAUUUUCCUAAUCAGUUUCGUCGUGUUUUGUACUUAAGUUGAGCAUUCCACGCCGUGUGGUACUUUCAGAAGAGAAGUAGUGGUGAAUAAAUCGCAACCGUUGUGAUGUUUUCUUAACUAGGUAUUAAGAAUUACCAUUGGUAUUUGGAAUUAGAUUGCAGAGCAUUUAGGAACCGUUCUCACUAUGUUGCCCAGGCUGGUCUUGAACUCCUCAGCUGAAAUGAGCCUCCCACCUUGGCCUCCCAAAGUGCUGGGAUUACAGGCGUCCCCUCUGCCCCAGUACUGUCUCCUCUCCCCAGCCCAGCCCCCACAGCUGCCUGCCCUGGCCUCACUCCCUGGCCUCCCCCCAUCCCAGCCUCUGGGUCCCUGAGUCAGUCCCUGGGGCUGUCUGCCCUCCAUGGAGCCUCUGGUGUGGACCAGAAGGUAACCUAAUCUCUUCCAGGCCCACCCUGGAAACAAAGGGAUUUGUCCACUAGCCUGGUGGUGAGAACCAUGUGGCCCCCUGUCUCUCGCAGAGAGGACUCCAGGAUCAAGGGCAGGUAAAAGGAGGAGGCUGCCGGGGAGCUUCAGAAGGAGGGUCCCAAGUCCCUCCUGCCCCACUUCUGUGCCUGGGUCACUCACACCCCUGCCUGACUCUAGCCCCCCCUUCUCCAGGGGUCUCCACAACAUGUGAAUCAUGCCCAGCGUCUUCCAUUACACCCUUGAUAAAGUCCUCUCCUCACCAGGACCUCUGUCAUUUUACCUCAUGGUUCUGAAAUAAUUUUUGGUCUUCUUAGCAGUUUAAAAAUAUUGUUUUGUUUUUUUCUCCUGCGUUUGGAGCAUUCCUGUUACCAAUUACAUUUUUUUUUAGACAGGUGCACACUACUACACCCAGCUAAUUUUUGUUUUGUUUUGUUUUGUUUUGGUAGAGAUAGGAUCUUGCUAUGGUACCCAGGCUGGUCUUCAACUCCUGGGCUCAAGCAGUCCUCCUGCAUUGGCCUCCCAAAGUGCUGGAAUUACAGGCAUGAGGCAGCACGCCCAGCCCUAAUUACUUCUAUUACGCCAAAUUCCUUGUGUGGAAUUCCUGUGCUUUGCACACAAAUUGCCAGGUUGGCCCCAGAAAGGUGGAUUCCAUUUUCCCGUCUUCUAUGCCUACGUGGCUGACCAAUCUCCCGAAUCCUACAGGAGCUGUGGUUGAUCUUUGUCCUCUAUUCGCUGAAAUAAAGUUCACCAUGGA
rnacentral:lncRNA from 1 species